rnacentral:rRNA from 1 species
GAGUUUGAUCCUGGCUCAGGAUGAACGCUGGCGGCGUGCUUAACACAUGCAAGUCGAACGGGAAUGCCACGCUGAUGCGAUUUCGGUCAAAUCAUGUGGCAUUCGAGUGGCGGACGGGUGAGUAACGCGUGGGUAACCUGCCUUACACAGGGGGAUAACACCUGGAAACAGGUGCUAAUACCGCAUAAGCGCACAGGGCCGCAUGGCCCGGUGUGAAAAACUCCGGUGGUGUAAGAUGGACCCGCGUCUGAUUAGCUUGUUGGCGGGGUAGGGGCCCACCAAGGCGACGAUCAGUAGCCGGCCUGAGAGGGUGGACGGCCACAUUGGGACUGAGACACGGCCCAAACUCCUACGGGAGGCAGCAGUGGGGGAUAUUGGACAAUGGGGGAAACCCUGAUCCAGCGACGCCGCGUGAGUGAAGAAGUAUUUCGGUAUGUAAAGCUCUGUCAGCAGGGAAGAAAGAAAUGACGGUACCUGACCAAG